CAAUAGUAGGAGUAAGUCACACUUAAUAAUUAUGAAUACAAGUGAACGAAUAAAUGUAAAUUUCAAGACGUGUGAUUAAUUACAGCUCAAUAUUAUACAAAAGAACGAAAAUCUGAAAAGAAAUGUGCCAAUUUUGUUUUCAAUUUCAAAAAUUUGCCAUAUGAACUCCACAACAUCUCAUGCAAAAUUAAAGAAUUUUAAAAAGAAUGUCAUCAUUGUAUUUCACAGUGUACAAGCAUACAUAGAAUACAAAAAUUUAAUAUUAAAUUACUACAAACUUGUCAAUUUUUAAUUAAAUAUGUUCUCACAAAAUAAAA